rnacentral:lncRNA from 1 species
GAGAACUUGUAAACUCUAUGUAUGCAUGGAAAGUGAUAAGAACCUAGGUGAGGCAAAGAACCAAAAUGACAUAAUGAUAUACGAAUUGAGUGGCAUUAGUAAAGGUCAUGCAUGCAAAUGAACACUAAAGUGUGUGGCAUUAGUAAAUGACAAGAAUGCUAGAGUUGAACACUUAGAGAACAAGUGUGGCAUUAGUGAAUGAGUACAAAGAACAAGUUAGUGUAUAUGACACUAGUAUAAGUUAAAGAAUGCAAGUAAAGAACAAUAGUGACAUUGUGACAUAGAAACCUUAAAGAUAAGGGUCACAUGAGCAUUGGAAUCUUUAAAGCUAAGAAUUGAUCUUACUCGCCUAUAGUCUU